rnacentral:tRNA from 1 species
UGGGACGUAGGCAAGCGGUAAGCCAUCGGGUUUUGAUCCCGACAUUCACAGGUUCGAACCCUGUCGUCCCAG